rnacentral:rRNA from 1 species
AACGAACGCUGGCGGCGUGCCUAAUACAUGCAAGUUGAGCGCUGAAGGUUGGUACUUGUACCAACUGGAUGAGCAGCGAACGGGUGAGUAACGCGUGGGGAAUCUGCCUUUGAGCGGGGGACAACAUUUGGAAACGAAUGCUAAUACCGCAUAAAAACUUUAAACACAAGUUUUAAGUUUGAAAGAUGCAAUUGCAUCACUCAAAGAUGAUCCCGCGUUGUAUUAGCUAGUUGGUGAGGUAAAGGCUCACCAAGGCGAUGAUACAUAGCCGACCUGAGAGGGUGAUCGGCCACAUUGGGACUGAGAAACGGCCCAAACUCCUACGGGAGGCAGCAGUAGGGAAUCUUCGGAAAUGGACGAAAGUCUGACCGAGAAACGCCGCGGGAGUGAAGAAGGUUUUCGGAUCGGAAAACUCUGUUGGUAGAGAAGAACGUUGGUGAGAGUGGAAAGCUCAUCAAGUGACGGUAACUACCCAGAAAGGGACGGCUAACUACGUG